AGUAACGGCGAGUGAAGCGGCAAUAGCUCAAAUUUGAAAGCUGGCGUCUUCGACGUCCGCGUUGUAAUUUGUAGAGGAUGCUUCGGCGAAGACUCCUGCCUAAGUCCCCUGGAACGGGGCGUCAUAGAGGGUGAGAAUCCCGUAUGUGGCGGGCAGUCUAAGCCAUGUGAAGCUCCUUCGACGAGUCGAGUUGUUUGGGAAUGCAGCUCUAAAUGGGAGGUAAAUUUCUUCUAAAGCUAAAUAUUGGCCAGAGACCGAUAGCGCACAAGUAGAGUGAUCGAAAGAUGAAAAGCACUUUGGAAAGAGAGUUAAAAAGUACGUGAAAUUGUUGAAAGGGAAGCGCUUGCAACCAGACUCGCUCGUAGUUGCUCAGCCGGCCUCUUGGCCGGUGUACUCUUCUACGAUCGGGCCAGCAUCAGUUCGGGCGGCAGGAUAAAGGUGUCGGGAAUGUAGCACCCUUCGGGGUGUGUUAUAGCCCGGCGCGGAAUGCUGCCAGCCUGGACUGAGGAUCUCGCUUCGGCAAGGAUGCUGGCGUAAUGGUUGUAAGCGGCCCGUCUUGAAACACGGACCAAGGAGUCUAACAUCUAUGCGAGUGUUUGGGUGUCAAACCCAUGCGCGUAAUGAAAGUGAACGGAGGUGGGAACCCCUCACGGGGUGCACCAUCGACCGAUCCUGAUGUCUUCGGAUGGAUUUGAGUAAGAGCAUAGCUGUUGGGACCCGAAAGAUGGUGAACUAUGCCU
rnacentral:rRNA from 1 species